AGAGUUUGAUCAUGGCUCAGGAUGAACGCUAGCGGCAGGCUUAACACAUGCAAGUCGAGGGGUAACAGAGUAGCUUGCUACUGCUGACGACCGGCGCACGGGUGCGUAACGCGUAUACAAUCUACCUUAUACUGGGGUAUAGCCUUUAGAAAUGAAGAUUAACCCCCCAUAGUCUCUAAGAGUGGCAUCACAUUUAGAGUAAAGGUUACGGUAUAAGAUGAGUAUGCGUUCUAUUAGUUUGUUGGUGAGGUAACGGCUUACCAAGACUACGAUAGAUAGGGGCCCUGAGAGGGGGAUCCCCCACACUGGUACUGAGACACGGACCAGACUCCUACGGGAGGCAGCAGUGAGGAAUAUUGGACAAUGGAGGCAACUCUGAUCCAGCCAUGCCGCGUGUAGGAUGACUGCCCUAUGGGUUGUAAACUACUUUUAUACAGGAAGAAACACCUCUACGUGUAGAGGCUUGACGGUACUGUAAGAAUAAGGAUCGGCUAACUCCGUGCCAGCAGCCGCGGUAAUACGGAGGAUCCAAGCGUUAUCCGGAAUCAUUGGGUUUAAAGGGUCCGUAGGUGGAUAAUUAAGUCAGAGGUGAAAUCUUGCAGCUCAACUGUAAAAUUGCCUUUGAAACUGGUUAUCUUGAGUUAUUAUGAAGUAGUUAGAAUAUGUAGUGUAGCGGUGAAAUGCAUAGAUAUUACAUAGAAUACCAAUUGCGAAGGCAGAUUACUAAUAAUCAACUGACACUGAUGGACGAAAGCGUGGGUAGCGAACAGGAUUAGAUACCCUGGUAGUCCACGCCGUAAACGAUGGUUACUAGCUGUUUGGACUUCGGUCUGAGUGGCUAAGCGAAAGUGAUAAGUAACCCACCUGGGGAGUACGUUCGCAAGAAUGAAACUCAAAGGAAUUGACGGGGGCCCGCACAAGCGGUGGAGCAUGUGGUUUAAUUCGAUGAUACGCGAGGAACCUUACCAGGGCUUAAAUGUAAGUUGCAUUAGUUAGAGAUAGCUAUUUCUUCGGACCGCUUACAAGGUGCUGCAUGGUUGUCGUCAGCUCGUGCCGUGAGGUGUCAGGUUAAGUCCUAUAACGAGCGCAACCCCUGUUGUUAGUUGCCAGCGAGUCAUGUCGGGAACUCUAACAAGACUGCCAGUGCAAACUGUGAGGAAGGUGGGGAUGACGUCAAAUCAUCACGGCCCUUACGUCCUGGGCUACACACGUGCUACAAUGGUAGGGACAGAGAGCAGCCACUGGGCGACCAGGAGCGAAUCUAUAAACCCUAUCACAGUUCGGAUCGGAGUCUGCAACUCGACUCCGUGAAGCUGGAAUCGCUAGUAAUCGGAUAUCAGCCAUGAUCCGGUGAAUACGUUCCCGGGCCUUGUACACACCGCCCGUCAAGCCAUGGAAGUUGGAAGUGCCUGAAGUCCGUCACCGCAAGGAGCGGCCUAGGGUAAAGUCGAUAACUAGGGCUAAGUCGUAACAAGGUA
rnacentral:rRNA from 1 species